rnacentral:rRNA from 1 species
CUCCAGACUCCUACGGGAGGCAGCAGUGAGGAAUAUUGGUCAAUGGGCGCGAGCCUGAACCAGCCAAGUCGCGUGAGGGAUGACGGCCCUACGGGUUGUAAACCUCUUUUGCCGGGGAGCAACGGGCGCCACGUGUGGCGCCACUGAGAGUACCCGGAGAAAAAGCAUCGGCUAACUCCGUGCCAGCAGCCGCGGUAAUACGUAGGUGGCAAGCGUUAUCCGGAUUUACUGGGUGUAAAGGGCGUGUAGGCGGGAAAGCAAGUCAGAUGUGAAAACCAUGGGCUCAACCUGUGGCCUGCAUUUGAAACUGUUUUUCUUGAGUACUGGAGAGGCAGACGGAAUUCCUAGUGUAGCGGUGAAAUGCGUAGAUAUUAGGAGGAACACCAGUGGCGAAGGCGGUCUGCUGGACAGCAACUGACGCUGAGGCGCGAAAGCGUGGGGAGCAAACAGGAUUAGAUACCCGUGUA